UACGGAGGGCGCAAGCGUUGUUCGGAGUUGCUGGGCGUAAAGCGCGUGUAGGCGGCCAGGUAAGUCGGAUGUGACAGCCCGGGGCCCAACCCCGGAACUGCACCCGAUACUGCCCGGCUGGAGUCCCGGAGAGGAUGGCGGAAUUUCCGGUGUAGAGGUGAAAUUCGUAGAUAUCGGAAGGAACACCAGGGGCGAAGGCGGACAUCUGGACGGUGACUGACGCUGAGACGCGAAAGCGUGGGGAGCAAACAGG
rnacentral:rRNA from 1 species